rnacentral:rRNA from 1 species
AAACCAGCACCUCAAGUGGUCAGGAUGAUUAUUGGGUCUAAAGCAUCCGUAGCCUGCUCUGUAAGUUUUCGGUUAAAUCUGUACGCUCAACGUACAGGCUGCCGGGAAUACUGCAGAGCUAGGGAGUGGGAGAGGUAGACGGUACUCGGGAGGAAGUGGUAAAAUGCUUUGAUCUCUCGAUGACCACCUGUGGCGAAGGCGGUCUACCAGAACACGUCCGACGGUGAGGGAUGAAAGCUGGGGGAGCAAACCGGAUUAGAAACCCGAGUAGUCC